GAUGAACGCUGGCGGCGUGCCUAACACAUGCAAGUCGAGCGGGAUUUUGCUGAAUGACGCUUCGGUUGAUUUCAGUGAAUGAGAGCGGCGGACGGGUGAGUAACGCGUAGGCAACCUGCCCCAUAGAGUGGGAUAACACAGUGAAAAUUGUGCUAAUACCGCAUAAAAUAGUAGAAUCGCAUGGUUUAACUAUCAAAGAUUUAUCGCUAUGGGAUGGACUCGCGUCUGAUUAGCUAGUUGGUGAGGUAACGGCUCACCAAGGCGACGAUCAGUAGCCGAACUGAGAGGUUGAUCGGCCACAUUGGGACUGAGACACGGCCCAGACUCCUACGGGAGGCAGCAGUGGGGAAUAUUGCGCAAUGGGGGCAACCCUGACGCAGCAACGCCGCGUGAAGGAAGAAGGUUUUCGGAUCGUAAACUUUUGUCUUAGGGGACGAUAGUGACGGUACCCUAGGAGGAAGCCACGGCUAACUACGUGCCAGCAGCCG
rnacentral:rRNA from 1 species